AACGAACGCUGGCGGCAUGCCUAACACAUGCAAGUCGAACGAGACCUUCGGGUCUAGUGGCGCACGGGUGCGUAACGCGUGGGAACCUGCCCUUAGGUUCGGAAUAACUCCCCGAAAGGGGUGCUAAUACCGGAUAAUGUCUUCGGACCAAAGAUUUAUCGCCUUUGGAUGGGCCCGCGUUGGAUUAGCUAGUUGGUAGGGUAAAAGCCUACCAAGGCGACGAUCCAUAGCUGGUCUGAGAGGAUGAUCAGCCACACUGGGACUGAGACACGGCCCAGACUCCUACGGGAGGCAGCAGUGGGGAAUAUUGGACAAUGGGCGAAAGCCUGAUCCAGCAAUGCCGCGUGAGUGAUGAAGGGCUUAGGGUUGUAAAGCUCUUUUACCCGGGAUGAUAAUGACAGUACCGGGAGAAUAAGCUCCGGCUAACUCCGUG
rnacentral:rRNA from 1 species